UACGAAGGGGGCUAGCGUUGCUCGGAAUCACUGGGCGUAAAGGGUGCGUAGGCGGGUCUUUUAAGUCAGGGGUGAAAUCCUGGAGCUCAACUCCAGAACUGCCUUUGAUACUGAGGAUCUUGAGUUCGGUAGAGGUAAGUGGAACUGCGAGUGUAGAGGUGAAAUUCGUAGAUAUUCGCAAGAACACCAGUGGCGAAGGCGGCUUACUGGACCGGUUCUGACGCUGAGGCGCGAAAGCGUGGGGAGCAAACAGG
rnacentral:rRNA from 1 species